rnacentral:rRNA from 1 species
AAGGAAUAUUGGUCAAUGGGCGCAAGCCUGGACCAGCCAUGCCGCGUGCAGGAAGACGGCCCUACGGGUUGUAAACUGCUUUUGUACGGGAACAAACACCAUUACGUGUAAUGGCUUGAGUGUACCGUAAGAAUAAGGAUCGGCUAACUCCGUGCCAGCAGCCGCGGUAAUACGGAGGAUCCGAGCGUUAUCCGGAUUUAUUGGGUUUAAAGGGCGCGUAGGCGGCCCAUUAAGUCAGGGGUGAAAGACGGCAGCUUAACUGGCGCAGUGCCUUUGAUACUGACGGGCUUGAAUGCGGAUGAGGUAGGCGGAAUGAGACAAGUAGCGGUGAAAUGCAUAGAUAUGUCUCAGAACUCCGAUUGCGAAGGCAGCUUACUAAGUCGUGAUUGACGCUGAUGCACGAAAGCGUGGGGAUCAAAC